CCAUACUGAGUGGCAACGGGUGAGUAUAUGUGGGAAUCUGCCUUUUGGUUGGAAUAACACGGGGAAACUGUGCUAAUACCGAAUAAGCCCUUACGGGGAAAGUUUUAACGCCGAAAGAUGAGCCCGCACUUGAUUAACUAGUUGGUAAGGUAAAAGCUUACCAAGGCAAUGAUCAAUAGCUGUUCUUGGAGGAAGACCAGCCACAUUGGGACUGAGACACGGCCCAGACUCCUACGGGAGGCAGCAGUGGGGAAUCUUGCACAAUGGGGGAAACCCUGAUGCAGCGAUGCCGCGUGAGUGAAGAAGGCCUUUGGGUUGUAAAGCUCUUUCGUCGGGGAAGAAAAUGACUGUACCCGAAUAAGAAGGUCCGGCUAACUUCGUGCCAGCAGCCGCGGUAAUACGGAGGGGGUUAGCGUUGUUCGGAAUUACUGGGCGUAAAGCGCACGUAGGCGGAUUAGAAAGUUAGAGGUGAAAUCCCAGGGCUCAACCCUGGAACUGCCUUUAAAACUACUAGUCUAGAGUUCGAGAGAGGUGAGUGGAAUUCCGAGUGUAGAGGUGAAAUUCGUAGAUAUUCGGAGGAACACCAGUGGCGAAGGCGGCUCACUGGCUCGAUACUGACGCUGAGGUGCGACAGUGUGGGGACGCAACAGGAUUAGAUAACCUGGUAGUCCCACCGUAAACGAUGAAUGCAGUCGUCGGGUAUAUAUAUUCGGGACCACCUAAGGAUUAGCUUCCGCUGG
rnacentral:rRNA from 1 species